GUACUGAGAUGUGUAUAUACAGGUAGACAGGUAGACAGGUGGAUGUGUGUGUGUUGUGUCCUAGCAGCCCUUACAGUAGAGAUACUUGAUACUGUACACCCCAGAGUACUGAGAUGUGUACAUACAGGUAGACAGGUGGAUGUAUGUGUGUUGUGUCCUAGCAGCCCUUACAGUAGAGAUACUUGAUACUGUACACCCCAGAGUACUGAGAUGUGUAUAUACAGGUAGACAGGUAGACAGGUGGAUGUGUGUGUGUUGUGUCCUAGCAGCCCUUACAGUAGAGAUACUUGAUACUGUACACCCCAGAGUACUGAGAUGUGUACAUACAGGUAGACAGGUGGAUGUAUGUGUGUUGUGUCCUAGCAGCCCUUACAGUAG